CCCUUAGAUGUUCUGGGCUGCACGCGCGCUACACUGAUGCGUUCAACGAGUUUAUGACCUUGCCCGAUAGGGUUGGGUAAUCUUUUUAAAUCGCAUCGUGAUGGGGAUAGAUUAUUGCAAUUAUUAAUCUUCAACGAGGAAUUCCUAGUAAGCGCGAGUCAUCAGCUCGUGCUGAUUACGUCCCUGCCCUUUGUACACACCGCCCGUCGCACCUACCGAUUGAAUGGUCCGGUGAAAUCUCGGGACGGCGGCUUGGUCGCUUGCGUCCGACUGCUGAAACUUGAUUAAACCAUAUCAUUUAGAGGAAGGUGAAGUCGUAACA
rnacentral:rRNA from 1 species